UACGUAGGGCGCAAGCGUUGUCCGGAAUUAUUGGGCGUAAAGAGCUCGUAGGCGGUCUGUCGCGUCCGUUGUGAAAACUCGAGGCUCAACCUCGGGCUUGCAGUGGAUACGGGCAGACUUGAGUUCGGUAGGGGAGACUGGAAUUCCUGGUGUAGCGGUGAAAUGCGCAGAUAUCAGGAGGAACACCGGUGGCGAAGGCGGGUCUCUGGGCCGAUACUGACGCUGAGGAGCGAAAGCGUGGGGAGCGAACAGG
rnacentral:rRNA from 1 species